rnacentral:tRNA from 1 species
GAAGAUAUAGAUCAGUGGUAGAGUUUGUGUUUAGCAUGCACAAAGUCUAGGGUUCAAUCCCCAGUACCUCCA